GACGAACGCUGGCGGCGUGCUUAACACAUGCAAGUCGAACGGAAAGGCCCUGCUUUUGUGGGGUGCUCGAGUGGCGAACGGGUGAGUAACACGUGAGUAACCUGCCCUUGACUUUGGGAUAACUUCAGGAAACUGGGGCUAAUACCGGAUAGGAGCUCCUGCUGCAUGGUGGGGGUUGGAAAGUUUCGGCGGUUGGGGAUGGACUCGCGGCUUAUCAGCUUGUUGGUGGGGUAGUGGCUUACCAAGGCUUUGACGGGUAGCCGGCCUGGGAGGGUGACCGGCCACAUUGGGACUGAGAUACGGAGCAGACUCCUACGGGAGGCAGCAGUGGGGAAUAUUGCACAAUGGGCGGAAGCCUGAUGCAGCAACGCCGCGUGCGGGAUGACGGCCUUCGGGUUGUAAACCGCUUUCGCCUGUGACGAAGCGUGAGUGACGGUAAUGGGUAAAGAAGCACCGGCUAACUACGUG
rnacentral:rRNA from 1 species